rnacentral:tRNA from 1 species
AGCGGGGAGUAUCAGGCAGACAAUGCCAGCACUCAUAACGCUGAGGUCGGCAGUUCAAGUCUGCCUCCCGCUACCA